UUCGACGGUGAGGGACGAAAAGCCAGGGGAGCGAACCGGAUUAGAUACCCGAGUAGUCCUGGCCGUAAACGCUGCGAGCUAGGUGUUGCAUAUUCUUAGUGAUUAUGCAGUGUCGAAGCGAAGGUGUUAAGCUCGCCGCCUGGGAAGUAUGGUCGCAAGACUGAAACUUAAAGGAAUUNGCGGGGGAGCACCACAAGGGGUGCGGCGUGCGGUUUAAUCUAAUUCAACGCAGAAAAUCUCACCAGGGGCGACGGCAGGAUGAAAGUCAGGCUGAAGACCUUACUUGACAAGCCGAGAGGUAGUGCAUGGCCGCCGUCAGCUCGUGCCGUGAGGUGUCCAGUUAAGUCUGGUAACGAGCGAGACCUGUACCUAUAAUUGCUAACAGCCAGCUUGCUGGGACUGAGCACAUUAUAGGGACUGCUGUGGAAACGCAGAGGAAGGUGCAGGCUACGGUAGGUCUGUAUGCUCCGAAUCUCCUGGGCUACACGCGCGCAACAAUGGUAGGGACAAUGGGAUGCGACUCCGAAAGGAGAAGCUAAACCUCUAAACCCUAUCCAAGUCCAGAUUGAGGCUUGCAACCCNNCCUCAUGACGAGGA
rnacentral:rRNA from 1 species